rnacentral:lncRNA from 1 species
UGGGGUAGGACAAUACCUAAACUCAAUAAGUUCAAUUCAAUCCUUAGUACUCCAAUUAAAUGGAAAAAAAAAUCCUAAGUAACUUGUAAACUAGCUGUUGACAAAGUUUGAGAAGUAAAAUGAAAUGGAUGAAAAUGUUUAGAUGGUGAGAUUUUCUUGAAGUACAGUAAAGGUGCCCUUUAUGUUUCCACCAACAUCAGGAAAUGUUUCACAGCCAACAAGAGGCUUCACAAUACCCUUUGAAUCAACCUCAAGUGGAUAUUUCAGUAAAUGACCAUUCAUUUCAGUUACUUCAUCAGCCACAUAUUGUCUCCAGUUAUACUCACUCAAUGACCUUAUUCUUCUCACACAUUCAAUGCUCUCUGGUUGCUUGAAACAUUCUUCCACACCUCCUAUGUGCUCACUCCACAAUGACAUUCUAUAGCCAUGCACCUGAACACAUACACAUGCACCAAACACAACACAAUCAUCAUAAAAAGCUAGCAGCAUACAUAAGCACUUAUAUGAUAAACGUUUAUGGCUUGUUAUAGAAGUGCUUCUGAAUCCAUAAAUCUUAGUAUCUUACCUGGCCAUGAGGGUUGGAUUUCUUGGUUGCCCAAGUAUGAUUAGGCUGAUAUGCUCCCAUUGCAAUUUCUGUGUCUCUAGUGCCUUCCAUUGACCUCUGGUUUAUGUUGGCAGAUCCCAUUAACACAUAUUCAUCAUCCACUAUCAUUCCUUUUGAAUGAACAUAUAUCAUGAAUCUUCUGUUCUUUUGAGUGAGUACCUAUAGGUUCCAAAAUAUGCAAACAAUUAUGAUAGAACUAACUUGAUAGGCAAAAAAAUUCAAGUUUACUUAAAGAGAGUAAAAUAAAAUACCUGAGGAUUGUUUUGUCCUGUAGGUUUUACAACAUUUGAAAUGUUUUCAUCUUCGGCGAGCUCGCGAUUGCCAAGGCAAAAGAAAUUCAAGUAGUCUUGUGGUUCAUACUCAUUUGCAAGUCCAGCCUCCUCUAAUGCCUUGUAAAUUGUUCCAUACAUCAUUUGCAUUGUUUUGAACUGCCAAAUCAACAUUUAAGAGUUUAGGAUAAUUUGAUAAUACAAUGCACACAAAUUUGAGAGUUUCUUCUAGCUUAAUAUACAUGUUUGAGAAGAAAAUCUUCUUAAUCAUUAUGGCAUCAAAAUAGAAAUUUUUAUGGUUUAUUACAUGACACCAUUUCAAGUGGUAAGGGAAGCUUACCUGCCAAAAGAGAAUCCGCUGAGUAGCUGUACUUGAGGGUACACCUUCAGGCCACAUAGGAAUCACAAUAUACACAGAGAAUCUUUCUUUCUGUUUGAUUUUGUUGGCUAUUUUUAGUGCAAUUUCAAUCGGAAUUAAGUUGUUUGCACCUGUGAAUAAAAGAAAAGGAAUGAAUAUAACAAGGAUGCCUGUUGCAACCUAUAUAUUAUAACAUAUUUAAAGGGUAAAUACAUUAAUACUUGAUAAGAGUAAUUCAAUAAAAGUAUUAUUAUUUUCACUCUUAUAUUUACACACUUUACUUAAUCCGUAAGAAACGGUCAAAUAUGUCGAUUAUUGUGGAACAGAUGGAGUAUCAUUUUAUUGGUUUUAGAACUCAAUACUCACCGAGGUCUUUGAAAGAAUCCCAGUUAUAUGACGAGCCAAGAAAAUAUUGAUUCUCAAUAUAAAUGAACUUCUGUGCUGCUCUGAUUGCUUUGACAUAUGCAGAAUGUAUGCUCAUGUCUAUCAUUACAUUCUUUCCACAAACCAAGUUCUGUUCAAUGAAGCAAACACGUCAGCUCUUUGUUUCACACAUCACAAACACAACAAAAAGUAAAUUUGAGCAGAGAAUGAAGCACUUCACCCUUUGUAUUGCAUCUUUAGGUUGUUUUGGAAAUCCUUUCACAGAAUUGGAAUCAAUUGAACGGAAGAUCUUCAAUUUAAAGAAUGUAGUAAACGGUUAGAAACAUCAAAAUUGAAGAAGUUUCUUAAAGGGAAUGAGAAUUCAAUCAGUCAAUGAUACCUGAACAUGCCAAGUCUCCUUGUUAUGCCCAUCAAGGCAAGGUACUUCAUGAAUGCCGAUAAUGUCAGAGAUUCUGUCAAUUUUCAGUAAUGAAUCAUCAUGUGAAGUUUUCAUCUUUUGAAGUGUAUUCAUUUUUAGUGCUCUUAACCAACGCUCCUCAAAAUUGGUGAGAAUGUCAUAGGCAGCAGGACCAUCAACUUUGGAAUGCAAAUCAUGCCAUGGUUGUCUUGGACAACCAGUAACAGAACCCUGUUUAGUAUGCAAAUUAAAACUCAGUUCAUUCAUAACCUCUAUUAUGACAAAUUGAUUAUGUAUUCUCAACCAUUAAACUCUGUGACGGGGCUUUUGAAAAAGAAAAAGCAGUCUAUGGAGAUUAAAAAUGCGAAGGAGCCUAACUCAAAACAUUCGCGUCUUAGAAUUUCGGUUAUGCCUAAUUAGCAGGUGACCUAUCAAAUCUUUGGUAGGCUCUGAUAUCAACUCGAGCCUAGCUAAAGCUUAGAAAACCGGAUUGUGAGGACAUCCUGUAAGUAUAAACACAUUUUCAAACCAUGUCUCAUUUAAUGCCAUACUUAUAACACUUGCAAUGAAAACUAGUGAAAAUAAAAAAUGGAUAACUAACCACAAAGUUAGGAUUAUGAAAGUCAUCUUUGUGUGUUGUCUGCAAAGUCCUAAAGAGAGAAUGUGCUGGAGUAUCAUAUCUUCCGAGACAUAAAUCAAGGCCUCCAAUGAAAGCUACAAUCUUUCUUUUAUGCUGACCAGCAUCGGCAUCCACAAUGACUGUCUUCUGAUGAUGGGUAUAGAUUGUUCCAGCUUCCUGACAAUUGAGCAAAAAGCAAAAUUUGUCCUUUUUUAAAAGAUUGCACCUUUAACUAUUUCUAUUAUCUGAUUAAACUGUAUAGAGUACUCAUGUUUUCAAUUUCUAAACAUGAUACAUAUAAUACAUAUUUUUUUAGACAAAAAUGUAUACAGGAAAUAUAAAGCAGAAAAAUAAAACCAGAAAUAACAAAAUUAAAUGUAGUUUUAGGGUGUUUGGAAGCAGCACAUGCUCAAGAUUUUCUCCUAGCUAUCCCGAUUGAUGAUUUAGGUCAGCAUAGGUCAUUAGUGGAGUAUCGUACUAUCCUUAGAUAUUGCCUUAUGAUUCCACUAUCUCCUAUUGAUGAGGUGUGCCCUAUUUGUCACAAGGCGUACCUGGAUACUUUUGGGAGCAUGCAGUUCAUUGUAAGGAGCUUUCUGGCUUUAAGUACAAACAUGACUUUGUUAGGGAUGUCCUUUUUGAUAUAUUCAGCUGGGCGGGAGUAUCAGUGAAGAAGGAGGCCCCUGUGAACUUGCCGACUGCCCACUAGAUAGAAGAUCAACACUUAGUCAUGCAGAUGUUAUGGUGUACAAAUGGGUAAGAGGAAACACUCAUUUGUAGACUUGACCAGUAUUUCACCACUCAUGGGAUUAGGGGUCGGGGCUUUUACGGUAGGACAGGCAGCCCUAAAAGUUGCAUCAAACAAAGUGGCCAAACAUGAGAAAGCAUGUUCUGACAGUCAACAUGUUUUUAUACCAUUUGUUUUUGACACUUUUGGUUUCCUUCUACAGAGUUCAAAGGGUCAUGCACAACAAUGUCAUAACUCCAAGGUCUGUGAAUGUUGUGUUUACGAAGAUUUGUCUUCUAUUCAUGUGUAAUUAUUCUUGAUAUAUAAUAUAUAUUCCAAAGCAUUUUUUGUAAUUCAGUACUAUGCAGUUAGACAUACAAAAAUAGUUUUUCUCUAACUGACCUGUUGUUUCAGCAAGCUAUGUCCUUUUCCUCCAGAUCUUGGGCAAAGAAGCACCCUAACUGAAGAGUGCUUGAAAAAGCUGCGAGUUUCCUCAUCAUAAGUGUUCAUAAGUCCAACCUACAUAUCAAGAAAUCAAUAAAUCAUAGAAAUUUGGUAAAGAAGUAAGAAACUGGUUACAACUUAAUUGCCUAUUCAAAAAUAGCAGCAAGGCAUGCCAAGGGAAUACACUAAUAGAGUUAGAGAGCCAAGUAUCAGAAACAUAAAUAGAAAGUUUUUUUUGAAGAUCAUUACUGUUUUAUAUCCAAGCAUGCUGUUAGAAGUAGGAUCAUCCCACACAAGUAGAAGCACUCUCACACCUUCUUGUGAUUUAGCUUUGAGAAGAUCACCUAAUGUACAAUCUUUUCCAUCUCUAGUAUCCCUAAUGAGACUAACAUUGUAGUAAACAGACCAACCAACAAUAUAUACCAAUCGUCGCGCCUGACUUAUUGCAUCAAAGAUAUCAUGCCAACAAUUUCCACUCUCAUAACUCAAAUCAUGAUCACCACCAUCAACCCUCAAACUAGGAAGACAACCUUGUGGAACAUGAGCAUCUUGAUAAAGUGUAACUUUUCCACCUUUUCUAAGUGGAAAGUAUGUAGCAGGAACACCUUGAAAAUCACCACCAACACCAUUGCUAUAAAGGGCUACCUUAUCAACAGGUGUAUACUGAAUUGACAAGCUCAAAAUUGCUUCAGUCUUAAAGGGUUUUCCAUUAGUAUUGAGAAUGGGAAAAAAGCCUUCAACUUUUGUACCAUCACAUAAUUUUUCUACUGGAAUUCCAACUGCACCAAUAACCUGUGAACCAACAAUAUCAUUGUCUUUUACAACAAAGUGAAUUUCUGAUGCAAGAUGUGCAACAGGUACAUUGAAGUGCUGAUUCCAAACAGGGUUCUCAUUGUUUCUAAUUACAAAAGUUCUUGCAAUAACAGCACCAGCUACAGAAACAGUUACAUAUGGAUCACUGGUUAUAUUACGAGACAUUUUGCCUUCAAUUUUGCCACCAAGUUUUUUAGGUAAGACUGAAAACAUUUCCCCCACUUUCUUGUGAAAAGUGUCCAUGUUAGGAAGGUUUUUCGCUUCUUGGACGCAUAUUUCUAAGUUGCCAUGUAAGAGUAAGAUCCUUAAGGAAGUUGAAGUGGUUGGAAAUGGAACAAGUUGUUGACCUUGUCCAUGGUGUGAGUUUCCAAAAGAUGGAGUUUCACCAUAAACCAAAUGAGCCAUAUUUUAAUAAAAAGUAACAAGUUUUGUUUAAAAAUGUAGAAAAUUGUUUAGAGUUUCUGAAAGAUGUUGGUAAAGAAUGGAAGAAGAAAUGGAAUAUGAGGAUGGCUUGUUAUUAUCCUAAGCAUAUAGAUACAGUUGAAGAGGAAGAGGUCAACCAAAGGCGUUUGAUUUGGUACUAGAAUGUGGGCUGCUAGUAGAGAAGUCAUGAACAAAAUGUUAAAGAAGACUUAGGAAAUGGUAUGUGGAAAAAACAAUUGGCGGAAAAUGGCAUGUGGAAAUAGAAUAUUGUUUUUGGACUGUUGAAUAGAUAGAUAGAUCCAUAUUAAGAUGUGAUUUGUACCAAAAAAAUAUAUUUAAAAAUUUAUUUGAUGCCAUGUAAAAAUGGAGUAAUGUUACUUACUCUCAAUCCUAACAACAUGGAUUGCUUGCAGUAAAAUAUUUGAUGCAUAAUGCAAUGGACAUAUUUGUAGUUGUUAGAUAGAGAUGGAGCGAUUUAAGUUUUAAACUCGGUUUUUUUAUUUAAACAAAUUAAAGUUUGUAUUAAAAAUUGAAUCAUUUGAUCUCAAUUCAAUAACACAAAUGUGUUGACCGUGACCAUAGAUAAGGAAUCAAAAUUAUCUACUGCGUGAGGAAAAAAAUGUAAUUUUUAGAUUAUGAACAAAAUAAACCGAACAAGCUAGUUUGUCUUUUAAUUUUUCAAUGCAACAGGUUCUUUUUGUGCAAUUUAAUGAUGGACAUGUUAAUUUUUAGGAUUUUUUUUUUGAUAAAAUUAAGGUUUGAAGUUUGAAUCUCACCGGAUUGAUGUGAAAACAUUUCGAAUGGCUAAAUUAAUAAAAUUUCAUAUUUCAAGUAUUAUUUUCUUGAUUCAUAUAUUUUAAGUAUCUAAAUAUUAAUAUAUUAUUAAAAAAAAUAGUUAGCGCUGUAUAGUUAUGUGAAACCUUUUAUUUAAAUUAGCAUUUCUGCAAAACAUAAUAUGUAUCAACACACCAAACUUAAUAAUGUUGGAAGUCAUAAAAUGUAUUGUUGCGGAAAAAACAAAAAACCAAAUCCUUCGUAGAAUAAAAAGAAGAUUUGGUUAGAGGUUAUAAAAGUGACACUUAUCACCUUUUAAGUUUUUUUUAAUGGAACAAGAUGAUUUUGUAAAGAUGUGUUAUACUCAAUAUGAAAACAUAAUAGCAUUGUAAAGAUGUGUUAUGGAACCUCUCAUCUCUUAUAUUUCAGGAUUUGUGAAGUUUAUCGGUUAGUUAAUAAUCAUACAUUCAAAAAAAUAUUCAUCUGUAAAACAAUGAAGUUUCAUUGAUAAAAAAAAAAAAAAAAAAAAGUAACUAAUUGAGUUUGAUCCUAAAUGGAAGAUUAUUGAUCAGAGUUUACUCACCUUCUAACUAAACUCCAGAUUAUCAUAGACUCUUUCUCCUAAGAAUUCGGAGGGUUUGUACCUUACACAAAACAAAACAAAAAAACUAUCUUGGAUAAAAUUUAAAGCAAUUGGGGUAAAGCCAUACUUAAAAGCAAUAAGUUCAAUCCUUAGUACUCCAAUUGAAUGGAAGAAAAUCCUAAGUAACUUGUAAACUAGCUGUUGACAAAGUUUGAGAAGUAAAAUGAAAUGGAUGAAAAUGUUUAGAUGGUGAGAUUUUCUUGAAGUACAGUAAAGGUGCCCUUUAUGUUUCCACCAACAUCAGGAAAUGUUUCACAGCCAACAAGAGGCUUCACAAUACCCUUUGAAUCAACCUCAAGUGGAUAUUUCAGUAAAUGACCAUUCAUUUCAGUUACUUCAUCAGCCACAUAUUGUCUCCAGUUAUACUCACUCAAUGACCUUAUUCUUCUCACACAUUCAAUGCUCUCUGGUUGCUUGAAA